rnacentral:rRNA from 1 species
AUUGAACGCUGGCGGAAUGCUUUACACAUGCAAGUCGAACGGCAGCACGGACUUCGGUCUGGUGGCGAGUGGCGAACGGGUGAGUAAUGUAUCGGAACGUGCCCAGUCGUGGGGGAUAACGUAGUGAAACUUACGCUAAUACAGCAUACGAUCUAUGGAUGAAAGCGGGGGAUCGCAAGACCUCGCGCGAGUGGAGCGGCCGAUAUCAGAUUAGGUAGUUGGUGGGGUAAAGGCCCACCAAGCCAACGAUCUGUAGCUGGUCUGAGAGGACGACCAGCCACACUGGAACUGAGACACGGUCCAGACUCCUACGGGAGGCAGCAGUGGGGAAUUUUGGACAAUGGGCGGAAGCCUGAUCCAGCCAUUCCGCGUGCAGGAUGAAGGCCCUCGGGUUGUAAACUGCUUUUGUACAGAACGAAAAGGUUUCUACUAAUACUAGGAGCUCAUGACGGUACUGUAAGAAUAAGCACCGGCUAACUACGUGCCAGCCGCCGCGGUAA